UACGUAGGGGGCAAGCGUUGUCCGGAUUUAUUGGGCGUAAAGGGCGCGUAGGCGGCCUCUUAAGUCAGUUGUGAAAGGUCCCGGCUCAACCGGGGAGUUGCAGCUGAAACUGGGAGGCUUGAGUGCAGGAGAGGAGAGCGGAAUUCUCGGUGUAGCGGUGGAAUGCGUAGAGAUCGGGAGGAACACCAGUGGCGAAGGCGGCUCUCUGGCCUGUUACUGACGCUGAGGCGCGAAAGCGUGGGGAGCGAACAGG
rnacentral:rRNA from 1 species